rnacentral:rRNA from 1 species
CCUACGGGAGGCAGCAGUGGGGAAUAUUGGGCAAUGGGCGCAAGCCUGACCCAGCAACGCCGCGUGAAGGAAGAAGGCUUUCGGGUUGUAAACUUCUUUUCUGAGGGACGAAGAACGUGACGGUACCUCAGGACUAAGCCACGGCUAACUACGUGCCCGCAGCCGCGGUAAUACGUAGGUGGCAAGCGUUAUCCGGAUUUAUUGGGUGCAAAGGGCGUGUAGGCGGGAAAGAAAGUCAGAUGUGAAAACUCAGGGCUCAACCCUGGGCCUGCAUUUGAAACUGUUUUUCUUGAGUGCGGGAGAGGCAAGCGGAAUGCCGGGUGUAGCGGUGAAAUGCGUAGAUAUACCGAAGAACACCAGUUGCGAAGGCGGAUUGCUGGACAGUAACUGACGCUGAGGCGCGAAAGCGUGGGGAGCAAACAGGAUUAGAUACCCCUGUAGUC